rnacentral:rRNA from 1 species
CUACGGGUGGCUGCAGUGGGGAAUAUUGGACAAUGGGCGAAAGCCUGAUCCAGCCAUGCCGCGUGUGUGAAGAAGGCCUUCGGGUUGUAAAGCACUUUCAGUGGGGAAGAAAGCCUUGGGGCUAAUACCCUCGAGGAAGGACAUCACCCACAGAAGAAGCACCGGCUAACUCCGUGCCAGCAGCCGCGGUAAUACGGAGGGUGUGAGCGUUAAUCGGAAUUACUGGGCGUAAAGCGCGCGUAGGCGGUCUGAUAAGCCGGUUGUGAAAGCCCCGGGCUCAACCUGGGAACGGCAUCCGGAACUGUCAGGCUAGAGUGCAGGAGAGGAAGGUAGAAUUCCCGGUGUAGCGGUGAAAUGCGUAGAGAUCGGGAGGAAUACCAGUGGCGAAGGCGGCCUUCUGGACUGACACUGACGCUGAGGUGCGAAAGCGUGGGUAGCAAACAGGAUUAGAUACCCCAGUAGUC